GUUAGGAAUAUUGGACAAUGGACGCAAGUCUGAUCCAGCCAUGCCGCGUGAGUGAUGAAGGCCUUCGGGUUGUAAAGCUCUUUAGCCGAUGAUUAUAAUGACUGUAGUCGGAAAAUAAGCCCCGGCUAACUUCGUGCCAGCAGCCGCGGUAAUACGAAGGGGGCGAGCGUUAUUCGGAAUCACUGGGCGUAAAGCGUGCGUAGGCGGCUUUGCAAGUUGGGAGUGAAAGCCCAGGGCUCAACCCUGGAAUUGCUCUCAAAACUGCAAGGCUCGAAUUCGGGAGAGGAUAGCGGAAUUGUCAGUGUAGCAGUGAAAUGCGUAGAUAUUGACAGGAACACCAGUGGCGUAAGCGGCUAUCUGGACCGAUAUUGACGCUGAGGCACGAAAGCGUGGGGAUCAAACAGGAUUAGAAACCCGGGUAGUCC
rnacentral:rRNA from 1 species